GAAGCUGGCUAGACAGUCGCCGCUCACGUAAGUGAGGGGAGGAAAGUCCGGGCUGCAUAGAGCGGGAUGACGGCUAACGGCCGUACGUUGAAAGCUUGGGUAACUAAGUAUAAGGCGCGGAAUAGGGCCACAGAGACGAGCGUAUUUAGUUACGGUGAAACGCGGUAACCUCCAUUCGCAGCAAGACCAAAUAGGCUGGUAUUGGCGUUGCUCGCGCUGCCAGCGGGUAGGUUGCUUGAGCGCACAAGUAAUUGUGCGCCUAGAUGAAUGACUGUCGUGCGUUGCAAGACGUAAACAGAACCCGGCUUAUCGGCCAGCUUCAAUU
rnacentral:RNase_P_RNA from 1 species